ensembl:lncRNA
GGUGUCGAAUUGACAGCCCCACCGUUGCAGUUCAGGCUAAGAAAACCAAGUAGCUCCUCUGUAGUCUGUUUCUCUGCUGCUACAUUAAAGUAAACAGUUUUGACCGCCCAGGCACCUUCUUUUGUAACAAGACCAGUUUCUGUAACUGCAGUAUGGGUGACUAACCUGUGUCGGAUGUGUGGAGUAACCAUUGAAGCAGUGUCCUUUUUAAAAAGGCACUACAUAAAAGAGCAUAUGCACUGCUUUAGCUAUUGUGCCUUACGUGGGUACAUAUUUAAAUCUAGACGGCACUCAUCUGUUACUCAAGUAUUAAUGUUUUCCAUCUUUAUCAGCUGUCUGGCACUUGCUUCUCUAACCACUUGCUUUGUUGCAUGUUACUCUCCUUGACCACAAAAGAUCUGAAGUUUAAUUAACAUCUUUUCUUAUGAUUCCUCAUGAUUCUAGUGACCAAUGAAAAAAUAUAUUAACACGUUUUUACUGAUGAGAUCUUUAAGGGACUUCUGCGCUACCAUUUAUGUUGAUCAGUUUAUGAAAUAAAGAUUAUCACAAUAUAUUUUGAUUGUAGCACUUUUCAGCUAUCAGUAGACCUGUACUGGUGGCAUAUUAUGAAGUGUAGAUAAAUAGUUUAUUUAAAAGUGGGUUGCUCUGAGAGGGCCUUGCCUUUUUUUUUUUUUUUUUUUUUUUUUUUUGUUGUUGUUGUUGUGGUAAUGUUUAAGAGGCCUUAGCUGAGUUGUGUGCAAUAAUCACUGUCGGUUGUUAAGGGUGCAUAUCGAUUGGCUCGAACAUCUCUCUCCUUAACUAAAACUUUGUUUUGACCUCUUAUAACAUAGGUCUGUGAAAUUUUCUAAAGAAUUAGAUAUUAAUGUGUGCUCAUUCUAAAGCUACAUUUUUCAAGAAUCACCGAAUUUUAGGGUUUUUAGGUGUACAUUGGUCAUACAGGUUGUUUUUUUUUUUUUUUUUUUCCAUGAUGAUGAUGAUUGUUUAAAAUGUUUUAUCUUUUAUCACAAAACCCUUUUGGUUUUGUAUAAAAAUGCCACAAAUGGCAGUGUUACUCAUUUAACUUAAUCCCUGGGUUCUGUUAAUUCCUCUGCUUUUCACAUACCAGACUAAAAAUGUGUCUGCAAAUGGAUGUUUUUCAACCUUGAGUCAACAUGUGGCACAUAUUAUUUCAUUGCUAAAUGGAUGUAGUUUUUGGAGUGUUUCACAUAUCCUAGCAGAACCCCAAAGGAACAACUGAAAGCUUAUUCUUCUACAAGAUCAUUUAUAUAUGACUGUUGUCCUAUAUGUGUAGUGUGGGCUUUGUUUCAUGUGUCAAGGUGCUGGUCUCUGAGGGUGGAAAUCUGUACAUAUAAAGGAAAGUGCACAAUCUAA